rnacentral:rRNA from 1 species
UACCCGCUCCCCGAGUGGUGGGGACGCUUAUUGGGCCUAAAGCAUCCGUAGCUGGCUGGGUAAGUCCCCUGUUAAAUCCAGCGAUUUAAUCGCUGGACUGCGGGGGAUACUGCCCAGCUAGGGGGCGGGAGAGGCCGGCGGUAUUCCCGGGGUAGGGGUGAAAUCCUAUAAUCCCGGGAGGACCACCAGUGGCGAAGGCUGCCGGCUGGAACGCGCCCGACGGUGAGGGAUGAAAGCUGGGGGAGCGAACCGG